UACGUAGGGUGCGAGCGUUGUCCGGAAUUACUGGGCGUAAAGAGCUCGUAGGUGGUUUGUCGCGUUGUUCGUGAAAACUCACAACUCAAUUGUGGGCGUGCGGGCGAUACGGGCAGACUGGAGUACUGCAGGGGAGACUGGAAUUCCUGGUGUAGCGGUGGAAUGCGCAGAUAUCAGGAGGAACACCGGUGGCGAAGGCGGGUCUCUGGACAGUUCCUGACGCUGAAGCACGAAGGCCAGGGGAGCAAACGGG
rnacentral:rRNA from 1 species